rnacentral:rRNA from 1 species
CAGCAGCCGCGGGAAUACGGAGGGUGCAAGCGUUAAUCGGAAUUACUGGGCGUAAAGCGCACGCAGGCGGUCUGUCAAGUCGGAUGUGAAAUCCCCGGGCUCAACCUGGGAACUGCAUUCGAAACUGGCAGGCUAGAGUCUUGUAGAGGGGGGUAGAAUUCCAGGUGUAGCGGUGAAAUGCGUAGAGAUCUGGAGGAAUACCGGUGGCGAAGGCGGCCCCCUGGACAAAGACUGACGCUCAGGUGCGAAAGCGUGGGGAGCAAACAGGAUUAGAUACCCGUGUAGUCCCUGUCUCUUAUAC